rnacentral:rRNA from 1 species
GACGAACGCUGGCGGCGUGCUUAACACAUGCAAGUCGAACGGUAAGGCCCUUCGGGGUACACGAGUGGCGAACGGGUGAGUAACGCGUGGGUGAUCUGCCCUGCACUUCGGGAUAAGCCUGGGAAACUGGGUCUAAUACCGGAUAAGACCACUGCCUGCAUGGGUGGUGGUGGAAAGCUUUUGCGGUGUGGGAUGGGCCCGCGGCCUAUCAGCUUGUUGGUGGGGUGAUGGCAUACCAAGGCGACGACGGGUAGCCGGCCUGAGAGGGUGACCGGCCACACUGGGACUGAGAUACGGCCCAGACUCCUACGGGAGGCAGCAGUGGGGAAUAUUACACAAUGGGCGCAAGCCUGAUGCAGCGACGCCGCGUGAGGGAUGACGGCCUUCGGGUUGUAAACCUCUUUCAGUACCGACGAAGCGCAAGUGACGGUAGGUACAGAAGAAGGACCGGCCAACUACGUGCCAGCAGCCGCCGUAA